rnacentral:rRNA from 1 species
GACGAACGCUGGCGGCGUGCUUAACACAUGCAAGUCGAACGAGAAUCUGUGGAUCGAGGAUUCGUCCAAGUGAAGCAGAGGACAGUGGCGGACGGGUGAGUAACGCGUGAGGAACCUGCCUUUCAGAGGGGGACAACAGUUGGAAACGACUGCUAAUACCGCAUGAUACAUUUGGGUUGGCGAUCAUCUGAAUGUCAAGAUUUAUCGCUGAAAGAAUGGCCUCGCGUCUGAUUAGCUGGUUGGUGAGGUAACGGCCCACCCAAAGGCGGACGAUCAGUAGCCGGACUGAGAGGUUGACCGGCCACAUUGGGACUGAGAUACGGCCCAGACUCCUACGGGAGGCAGCAGUGGGGAA